CUACGGGCGGCACCAGUGGGGAAUAUUGCACAAUGGAGGAAACUCUGAUGCAGCAACGCCGCGUGGAGGAUGACGCAUUUCGGUGUGUAAACUCCUUUUAUAUGUCAAGAAAAUGACGGUAGCAUAUGAAUAAGCACCGGCUAACUCCGUGCCAGCAGCCGCGGUAAUACGGAGGGUGCAAGCGUUACUCGGAAUCACUGGGCGUAAAGGAAGCGUAGGCGGGUUGGAAAGUCAGGUGUGAAAUCCUACAGCUUAACUGUAGAACUGCACUUGAAACUUCUAAUCUAGAGUAUGGGAGGGGGAGAUGGAAUUAGUGGUGUAGGGGUAAAAUCCGUAGAUAUCACUAGGAAUACCUAAAGCGAAGGCGAUCUCCUGGAACAUUACUGACGCUAAGGCGUGAAAGCGUGGGGAGCAAACAGGAUUAGAUACCCGAGUAGUC
rnacentral:rRNA from 1 species